CAUUCUGGGAGUCGCAGUUCGUCGUGGGCAACUUCUGCCUCUCAGGCUGGUUGCAGCCGGCGCCCCGGGUUAGCGCAGCCUGGGCCCCAGCCAUCCUGCCCCCUCUCCGGCCGGGAGAAGCGGGCGCUGGGCUCUGGGGCUCCCUGAGCCCGCGGAGGCCAGCGCCCAGGGCGCACAAGAAGAGCAGGGGUGGAAGAAGAAAGGGAUUUCAAGGAGGGCAUUGCUUAAAGGGAUGUUUGGACAGAGCCAGUUUCGGUGCUGGGCCGCAGCUCAGUGCCUAAUUUUAAUCUCGGGACUGCAGCCUGCGACCCGUGGACGAUUCAUACACGCCAGGUCAUUAGGUCGGGUCCGAUGCAGCUAGGCUAGGAAGCCUUGACGGAAUCCACGGAGUCCUUUGGCCUGUGUCUCUUCCCGAGGGGCAACCGUCUCGACCGUGACGCCUUCUCUGGUGAACGCUGAGAUGCCAAUUUUUCGGUCUCCUCAAACUUCUUCCCUCACACCCGAGUCUCUUCCUCCCCUAGGAGUCUCCUGGUGCAUGGAAUCUACCAGAAACUGGGUAAUGGAGUGGAGGAAGAAUAUCAUGCUGGCAAUUGUCCGGGGCCAGUGCACACCAGACUUUUGCUGUGGGACACAGAGGAAGGUCUGAGAGUUGCUGUUAGAGGACAUGUCCUCCAGAGGGCGACAGAGCACCAGCCGAGCCUGCUGCAUCUCCCUGUUUGCAUCUCCAGGCUCAGAAGGGGAUUGGAAAGGGACCCAUGGAAUCCCAAGGAGGUGCCCAGAGCCUGGGUUUGUUUUCAUGGUGCCCUGACACUGCGGCCCAAUGGGACCCCAUUCAGUGAGGGCAUGGACUUUUGCCAUCACGUAUCUGAUUCCAUUCCUGUCAGUCAGGCGGCCAGAGUAUGAGUGAGUUUGACUGGCUCUCCGGGGUCUAAGGGUCCUUUUCUUGUUUGGAGGCUGGACCCAGAGAAACCUGGCUUCAAUCCUGGACAUGCAGUUUUCAAAUCAGCCUGGCAGGGUGUUUGAAGUCUAGAAACCUUGGUGUGGGUUUUUCAUUGUUAACAAUUGUUUUGUGUUAAAGAGAACAAUUUGGGGGCAUUUAGCAUGUUCCCAAUGUUGUGCCAGCACCACCUCUAUCUGGUUCCAGCACAUCCUCAUCCCCUUGGAGGAGACCCUGUCCCAUUGAUCACUCUGAGUGUCCUCACCCCCCCACCCCAAAAACACCAGAUUACAUCUGUCUCAAUGGAUUUGUCUGCUCUGAGUGGCUCAUAAUAAAUGGAAUCGGGAAAAUGUGAA